AGAGUUUGAUCCUGGCUCAGGAUGAACGCUGGCGGCGUGCCUAACACAUGCAAGUCGAACGGAGCUGCUUUGAUGAAGUUUUCGGAUGGAUUUAAAACAGCUUAGUGGCGGACGGGUGAGUAACGCGUGGGUAACCUGCCUCACACUGGGGGAUAACAGUUAGAAAUAGCUGCUAAUACCGCAUAAGCGCACGGUUCCGCAUGGAACAGUGUGAAAAACUCCGGUGGUGUGAGAUGGACCCGCGUCUGAUUAGCCAGUUGGCGGGGUAACGGCCCACCAAAGCGACGAUCAGUAGCCGGCCUGAGAGGGUGAACGGCCACAUUGGGACUGAGACACGGCCCAAACUCCUACGGGAGGCAGCAGUGGGGAAUAUUGCACAAUGGGGGAAACCCUGAUGCAGCGACGCCGCGUGAGUGAAGAAGUAUUUCGGUAUGUAAAGCUCUAUCAGCAGGGAAGAAAAUGACGGUACCUGACUAAGAAGCCCCGGCUAACUACGUGCCAGCAGCCGCGGUAAUACGUAGGGGGCAAGCGUUAUCCGGAUUUACUGGGUGUAAAGGGAGCGUAGACGGCAAGGCAAGUCUGAAGUGAAAGCCCGGUGCUUAACGCCGGGACUGCUUUGGAAACUGUUUGGCUGGAGUGCCGGAGAGGUAAGCGGAAUUCCUAGUGUAGCGGUGAAAUGCGUAGAUAUUAGGAAGAACACCAGUGGCGAAGGCGGCUUACUGGACGGUAACUGACGUUGAGGCUCGAAAGCGUGGGGAGCAAACAGGAUUAGAUACCCUGGUAGUCCACGCC
rnacentral:rRNA from 1 species